GACGAACGCUGGCGGCGUGCUUAACACAUGCAAGUCGAACGGAAAGGCCCUGCUUGCAGGGUACUCGAGUGGCGAACGGGUGAGUAACACGUGGGUGACUUGCCCUGCACUUCGGGAUAAGCCUGGGAAACUGGGUCUAUUACCGGAUAGGCGCCAUUGUUAGUGUGAUGGUUGGUAAGUUUUUUCGGUGUAGGAUGAGCUGGCGGCCUAUCAGCUUGUUGGUGGGGUAAUGGCCUACCAAGGCGGCGACGGGUAGCCGGCCUGAGAGGGUGGACGGCCACAUUGGGACUGAGGUACGGCCCAGACGCCUACGGGAGGCAGCAGUGGGGAAUAUUGCACAAUGGGCGCAAGCCUGAUGCAGCGAGGCCGCGUGGGGGAUGACGGCCUUCGGGUUGUAAACUCCUUUCGCGAGGGACGAAGCUUUUUGUGACGGUACCUAGAUAAGAAGCACCGGCUAACUACGUG
rnacentral:rRNA from 1 species